rnacentral:rRNA from 1 species
GAUGAACGCUAGCUACAGGCUUAACACAUGCAAGUCGAGGGGAAACGACAUCGAAAGCUUGCUUUUGAUGGGCGUCGACCGGCGCACGGGUAAGUAACGCGUAUCCAACCUGCCCAUCACUUGGGAAUAACCUUGCGAAAGUAAGACUAAUACCCAAUGACAUCCCACGAAGACAUCUGAAUGGGAUUAAAGAUUUAUCGGUGAUGGAUGGGGAUGCGUCUGAUUAGCUUGUUGGCGGGGUAACGGCCCACCAAGGCAACGAUCAGUAGGGGUUCUGAGAGGAAGGUCCCCCACAUUGGAACUGAGACACGGUCCAAACGCCUACGGGAGGCAGCAGUGAGGAAUAUUGGUCAAUGGGCGAGAGCCUGAACCAGCCAAGUAGCGUGCAGGAGGACGGCCCUAUGGGUUGUAAACUGCUUUUAUAAGGGAAUAAAGUGGGUCUCGGGAGACUUUUUGCAUGUACCUUAUGAAUAAGGACCGGCUAAUUCCGUG